rnacentral:piRNA from 1 species
UGCCACUGUGGUAAGGACCUAAUUAACACUC